AGCAGUCUCACAUAAAUUCCCACUGAAGCUAAGCAGGGUUGAGCCUGGCCAGUACCUGGAUGGGAGACUUCCUGGGGAUAACUAAGGUUGCUGCUG
rnacentral:rRNA from 1 species